rnacentral:rRNA from 1 species
AGAGUUUGAUCAUGGCUCAGAUUGAACGCUGGCGGCAUGCUUUACACAUGCAAGUCGAACGGCAGCGCGGGGGCAACCCUGGCGGCGAGUGGCGAACGGGUGAGUAAUGCAUCGGAACGUAUCCUGUAAUGGGGGAUAACGUAGCGAAAGUUACGCUAAUACCGCAUACGCUCGAGAGAGGAAAGUGGGGGAUCGCAAGACCUCACGUUAUAGGAGCGGCCGAUGUCCGAUUAGCUAGUUGGUGGGGUAAAGGCCUACCAAGGCGACGAUCGGUAGCUGGUCUGAGAGGAUGAUCAGCCACACUGGGACUGAGACACGGCCCAGACUCCUACGGGAGGCAGCAGUGGGGAAUUUUGGACAAUGGGCGAAAGCCUGAUCCAGCCAUGCCGCGUGCGGGAAGAAGGCCUUCAGGUUGUAAACCGCUUUAGUCCGGGAAAAAGGGGUGCGAGGAUAAUACCCUCGUGCUUUGAUGGUACUGGAAGAAUAAGCACCGGCUAACUACGUG